rnacentral:rRNA from 1 species
GAUGAACGCUGGCGGCGUGCCUAAUACAUGCAAGUCGAGCGAACAGACGAGGAGCUUGCUCCUCUGACGUUAGCGGCGGACGGGUGAGUAACACGUGGAUAACCUACCUAUAAGACUGGGAUAACUUCGGGAAACCGGAGCUAAUACCGGAUAAUAUAUUGAACCGCAUGGUUCAAUAGUGAAAGACGGUUUUGCUGUCACUUAUAGAUGGAUCCGCGCCGCAUUAGCUAGUUGGUAAGGUAACGGCUUACCAAGGCAACGAUGCGUAGCCGACCUGAGAGGGUGAUCGGCCACACUGGAACUGAGACACGGUCCAGACUCCUACGGGAGGCAGCAGUAGGGAAUCUUCCGAAAUGGGCGGAAGCUUGAAGGAGCAACGCCGCGUGAGUGAUGAAGGUCUUCGGAUCGUAAAACUCUGUUAGUAGGGAAGAACAAAUGUGUAAGUAACUAUGCACGUCUUGACGGUACCUAAUCAGAAAGCCACGGCUAACUACGUG